CUUAACACAUGCAAGUCGAACGAUGAAGCUGGAGCUUGCUCCGGCGGAUUAGUGGCGAACGGGUGAGUAACACGUGAGCAAUCUGCCCUUGACUCUGGGAUAACUGCGGGAAACUGUAGCUAAUACCGGAUACGACGCCUUGGGGCAUCCCACGGGCGUGGAAAGAAUUUCGGUCAAGGAUGAGCUCGCGGCCUAUCAGCUUGUUGGUGAGGUAAUGGCUCACCAAGGCGACGACGGGUAGCCGGCCUGAGAGGGUGACCGGCCACACUGGGACUGAGACACGGCCCAGACUCCUACGGGAGGCAGCAGUGGGGAAUAUUGCGCAAUGGGCGAAAGCCUGACGCAGCAACGCCGCGUGAGGGAUGAAGGCCUUCGGGUUGUAAACCUCUUUUAGCAGGGAAGAAGCGAAAGUGACGGUACCUGCAGAAAAAGCACCGGCUAACUACGUGCCAGCAGCCGCGGUAAUACGUAGGGUGCAAGCGUUAUCCGGAAUUAUUGGGCGUAAAGAGCUCGUAGGCGGUUUGUCACGUCUGCUGUGAAAAUCUGAGGCUCAACCUCGGACUUGCAGUGGGUACGGGCAGACUAGAGUGCGGUAGGGGAGAAGGGAAUUCCUGGUGUAGCGGUGGAAUGCGCAGAUAUCAGGAGGAACACCAAUGGCGAAGGCACUUCUCUGGGCCGUAACUGACGCUGAGGAGCGAAAGCGUGGGGAGCGAACAGGAUUAGAUACCCUGGUAGUCCACGCCGUAAACGUUGGGCGCUAGAUGUGGGUCACAUUCCACGUGAUCCGUGUCGCAGCUAACGCAUUAAGCGCCCCGCCUGGGGAGUACGGCCGCAAGGCUAAAACUCAAAGGAAUUGACGG
rnacentral:rRNA from 1 species